UACGAAGGGGGCUAGCGUUGCUCGGAAUCACUGGGCGUAAAGCGCACGUAGGCGGCUUUUUAAGUCAGGGGUGAAAUCCUGGAGCUCAACUCCAGAACUGCCUUUGAUACUGGCGAUCUCGAGUCCGGGAGAGGUGAGUGGAACUGCGAGUGUAGAGGUGAAAUUCGUAGAUAUUCGCAAGAACACCAGUGGCGAAGGCGGCUCACUGGCCCGAUACUGACGCUGAGGCACGAAAGCGUGGGGAGCAAACAGGG
rnacentral:rRNA from 1 species